rnacentral:rRNA from 1 species
AUGGCCGCCGCCGCCCCCCUCCCCGUCCUCAUCCUCCUCCUCGCCGUCGCCCUCCUCGUCCCGGCCGCCGACGCCAUCUACUGCGACGAGGACGACUGCUACGACCUCCUCGGGGUGAAGCAGGACGCCAACGCGUCGGAGAUCAAGAAGGCCUACUACAAGCUCUCCCUCAAACACCACCCGGACAAGAACCCCGACCCGGAGUCGCGCGCGCUCUUCGUCAAGGUCGCCAAUGCCUACGAGAUACUAAAAGAUGAAGAAACUAGGGAGAAAUAUGACUAUGCUGUUGCACAUCCAGAGGAGUUCUUCUACAACACUGCUCAAUACUAUAGGGCCUACUACGGAUAUAAAACGGAUACUCGUUCUGUGUUGAUUGGCCUUCUUUUAAUUGUGUCAGCAUUCCAAUACAUAAACCAGUUGACAUCGUACAGUCAGGCCAUCGAAAGUGUGAAGCAAACUCCUGCCUACAGAAAUAGGUUAAAAGCAUUGGAGUUUGAGCGAACAGGAGGAAUUUCAAGCAAAAAAAAGGGCAACAAGCCGAUGGAUAAAAAGGUUGAAGAUGAGCUUAGAAAUGAAGUCGACUUGCAAAUUCAGGGAGUUCAGAAACCUUCUGUGUGGAAUCUUUGUGGUGUCCAACUGAUACUUCUGCCUUACUUAAUUGGCAAGCUGCUUAUUUGGCAAAUUUGUUGGUUUUGGAGAUACCGGGUAAAGAAAUCACCGUAUGCAUGGGAGGAUGCUUGCUAUUUGACUCGGACAUCCCUUAGGAUGCCUGCUAACACAUGGCAAAAUAUUGAUGAGUUUACGAAAGAGGAUCUCGUCAUGAAACGCCUCUGGGAAAAGGCCAACAUGGAGAGGCACAUAGCGGAGGCGAGAAGAGGAUCGAAGCAGCGUAGAAGAUAG